CCUACGGGAGGCAGCAGUGAGGAAUAGUGGUCAAUGGGCGCGAGCCUGAACCAGCCAAGUAGCGUGAAGGAUGACGGCCCUACGGGUUGUAAACUGCUUUUAUAAAGGAAUAAAGUGAGGCACGUGUGCCUUUUUGUAUGUACGGUAUGAAUAAGGAUCGGCUAACUCCGUGCCAGCAGCCGCGGUAAUACGGAGGAUCCGAGCGUUAUCCGGAUUUAUUGGGUUGACCGGGAGCGUAGAUGGGUUGUUAAGUCAGUUGUUCAAGUUUGCGGCUCAACCGUAAAAUUGCAAUUGAUACUGGCAGUCUUGUGUACAGUUGAGGUCGGCGGACUUCGUGUUGUAGCGGUGAAAUGCUUCGAUCUCAC
rnacentral:rRNA from 1 species